rnacentral:lncRNA from 1 species
UACUGAAUCCAGGUGCUCCGGGAACUGGUUUUAAAAUAUCGUGAGAACAUUGUUCAUGUGCGGACAGCAGCAGACCACAUGGAAGAGAAGCUGAAGGCUGAAAUACUUUUUCUAAAAGAGCAAAUUCAGGCGGAACAGUGUUUAAAAGAAAACCUUGAAGAGACAUUACAGCUGGAAAUUGAAAACUGCAAGGAGGAAAUAGCUUCCAUUUCUAGUCUAAAAGCUGAAUUAGAAAGAAUAAAAGUUGAAAAGGGACAGUUGGAAUCUACAUUAAGAGAGAAGUCGCAACAACUUGAGAGCCUCCAAGAAAUAAAAGUUAAUUUAGAGGAACAGUUAAAGAAGGAAACUGCUGCUAAGGCCACUGUUGAACAGCUCAUGUUUGAAGAGAAGAACAAAGCUCAGAGGUU